rnacentral:snoRNA from 1 species
UGGAAAUGAUGAAAAAGAGGUAUUUGGAUGUCUGUCUGAAUGGCAUGUGUGAUUGGGGGAAUUUUAUUCUAAUUCAAUUCUUAAUUUAUACUUUUAGUACUGCUCUAUUUGGGAGGGGGGAGUGUGUGUGCGUGUGUGUGUGUGUAAGUGUACAAAAGCUUCAAAAUGGGGGCACUGAUGGAUAAAGUGCUGAUUUUGGAGUGCAUCUGAGGCAUGCUGUAUUACAACAUUGCCAAUGAUUAAAGACCAAAAUAAGCUCACCAGAUUAGUCUAGACAUCCUAAAAAUCUCUAACAGGUUCACUGAUAUAAGUGAUCCUGUGAUCUGAUCCAA